UCGUGGUAUUAUUAGCAGGUAUGAGUAGUAGGCUUUGUCUAUCACUCAUUCAUUCCAUUUAUAUUGUAUUCAGAAAUUAUCAACAGGCGCCGACUUUCUUUGUCUAUUUUCUCUGUCUGCCCUCGCCCCAUUGUCUUUGUAAGUAAAGCUUGUAAUUUAUCCUUUGCUUUGCUUUGCUUGUAGCAGUUUAUGAAAUGUCAGUGACAGAGAGAUCCUACGGCUGAAAAACAAGGUUUUUAAUUUUAGGAUGGAGGAAGGGAGGAAGGAUAAUAGUCAAUCCACCGGAGAAACCUGUGAUUAGGAGGGAGGUGCGGCGGCUGUUUGCUCCAAAAGGCGAAAAGAGAGAGGAUUGGCCUCUGCCUCUGUGUGCUGGGGCUGCCUUGUUUAAUUUUUUUUUUAAUUUAAAAAUUUUAAUUUUAGGAAAGAUGAUGGUGAGGAAUGUGGUGAUGGUGAUGUUGUUUGUAACGGUGAUUGCUCCCAUUAUACUCUACACUGAUCGUCUCGGGUCCUUCCAGGUCUCCUCUUCCUCCUCUGGAGACGAUUUUGUUGAAGAUGUUACAGCCGUUGCUGCUAAUGCUCAUACAGGCCGUCUAAAUCUGCUUCCCCAGGAAUCAUCCACAACCCUUAAAGAACCUGUCGGAGUGGUAUAUUCCAACAACUCCACUAAUUCAUAUCCAGAGACAAGGGGGAGCUCCGCCCACCCCAAUCACAUUCAUAAAGAUGGGCCUUCAGUGGACUCCAUGGAGCAUGUAUCCGCUAGAGUGUUAUCUACCACCAACGACCAAAAUCUGUCUCAAACAGAUAAUCCCAUCAGACAGGUCACUCAAACACUUGAGCAAGGAAACCAGUUUAUGUCUGACUUACAUGCCAAAGGAGGUGGUGCUUCUGAGCAAAAUGUUGAUAAUGCCUCUCAAACUACGGAAAUAAAGAAUGAGCGACAAUCCACUCAAACAUCCAGCAGGGUUGAUCAAAGAAAACCCAAGAAAACUAUGACUGAAAAACAGAAUGAUGAAACAGCUGUUCCAGAUGUUCGGGUACGACAUCUUAAAGACCAGCUCAUCAGGGCAAAGGUCUACCUAUCUCUUCCAGCCACAAGAAACAACCCCCAUUUCACAAGGGAGCUUCGACUGCGAAUAAAAGAAGUUCAAAAAGCACUUUGGGAGGCAACCAAGGAUUCUGACCUGCCAAGGAACGCCUACGAUAAGUUGAAGGCAAUGGAACAGACAUUGACUAAAGGUAAGCAGAUUCAAGACGACUGCGCAGCUAUGGUGAAAAAGCUUCGAGCUAUGCUUCAUUCAAUGGAAGAGCAACUCCGGGUGCACAGGAAGCAGACUACGUUCUUGACACAAUUGACGGCAAAAACACUUCCCAAGGGACUUCACUGUCUUCCAUUGCGCCUUACCACUGAAUACUAUACCUUAAAUUCUUCUCAACAGAUCUUUCCCAAUCAAGAGAAACUAGAAGAUCCCCUGCUGUACCAUUAUGCACUAUUCUCAGACAAUGUAUUGGCUGCAGCGGUUGUUGUAAACUCAACUGUCACGCAUGCUAAGGACCCUGCAAAUCAUGUUUUCCAUAUUGUCACUGAUAGGCUCAAUUAUGCUGCAAUGAGAAUGUGGUUUUUAGUAAAUCCACCGGGCAAGGCCACUAUUCAGGUUCAAAACAUUGAAGAAUUAACAUGGUUGAACUCAAGUUACAGUCCGGUUCUGAAGCAGUUGGGUUCUGCAUCCAUGAUAGAUUAUUACUUUAGGACUCAUCGGGCCAAUUCUGAUUCAAAUUUGAAGUUUCGAAACCCAAAGUACUUGUCUAUCCUGAACCAUCUCCGCUUUUACCUUCCAGAGGUCUUUCCAAAGCUCAACAAAGUUCUGUUCCUGGAUGAUGAUGUAGUUGUGCAGAAGGAUCUUACUGGGCUCUGGGCCCUUGACUUGAAGGGAAAUGUUAAUGGGGCUGUGGAGACUUGUGGAGAAAGCUUCCAUCGCUUUGAUCGGUAUCUUAACUUUUCAAAUCCUCUUAUCUCAAAGAAUUUUGAUGCUCAUGCUUGUGGAUGGGCAUAUGGAAUGAAUAUCUUUGAUUUGGAGGAAUGGAAGAAGCAAAACAUCACAGAGGUGUACCACAGAUGGCAGGAGCUGAAUCAUGAUAGACAAUUGUGGAAGUUGGGAACCCUACCACCUGGGCUCAUAACAUUUUGGAAACGCACAUACCCACUCGAUCGCUCCUGCCAUGUGCUGGGCCUUGGUUAUAACCCUAGUGUUAACCAGAAGGAAAUUGAUCGAGCAGCUGUUAUACACUAUAAUGGCAACAUGAAACCGUGGCUUGAGAUAGGCAUACCCAAAUACCGAAAUUACUGGGUAAAAUAUGUUGAUUAUGAUCAUAUGUAUAUGCGAGAGUGCAAUAUCAAUCCAUAGAAUGGCACUUAUGGUAUGUUUGAAGUGUUCUGUGCAACACCUUCUAAGCUGUAAAAUGUGACAGGGUUUCCUCACACCCUCUCCCUCCAUUCAUCAUCAUCUUCUCUCCAAGUCAAGCCAAGCCAAGCCAACCCAGAAGAAGAAGGGAGGUGAUAAUUAAGAGAAAUGGCAUUCAAAUAUCAUAUUGUGUGCGUGUGCUUGGCGUUGUUUAUCUUCUGUGCUACUAGUAGCAUUCAGCCAACUAAGCUUGUGGACGAGGUCUGUCACUCAACUUCCAGUUACUCCUUGUGUGUGGAGUCUCUUUACACGGACCCACGCACGCCCAGUGCUGAUCGCUAUGUGCUUGCCUACAUCUCGUUUCGCUUAGCAUUCCUCAAUGCCUCCAGCACCCAAGACCAUAUAGCCAAGCUGCUCAAGCACACAAAGGCAAAGGCAAAGGCAAACACAGGCCCUACCCAGCAAGUCCUCCGACGAUGUUAUCAUGAUUACAACAAGGCCGUUUCUGCUCUCUCAUCCGCCUACAACGACCUCAACUCGGAAACUUUCUCUGAGCUCGUUGAUUGGGCAGGUGCUGCUUCUCUUGCUGCGGAUGACUGCCAAGUUGUUGUCAAGACAACUUAUCCUCCUUUGACCACCAUGAAUCUUGAUUUGAAGCGUCUUUGUGAAAUCUGCGUUGCUGUCUCUAAACUCUUUACUUGAGACUUGCUUGCUUAGUUUAGAGACAAUGAUAGCUACUACUAGUAGCUAGGGUCAUGUUGUUCCUCUUGUUUACUUCAUCAUAUAGACUUUAGUCUUGGGUU